rnacentral:ncRNA from 1 species
UAAAUCUCCUCGAAUUGUAGCAUUCACUGCUUGCGUUCCGCUUGACGGAUAGAGGAGAUUUUUAUG